rnacentral:rRNA from 1 species
CCUACGGGGGACUGCAGUGGGGGAUAUUGCACAAUGGGGGGAACCCUGAUGCAGCGACGCCGCGUGGGUGAAGGAGUGCUUCGGCAUGUAAAGCCCUAUCGGCAGGGAAGAAGCAAGACGGUACCUGACUAAGAAGCCCCGGCUAACUACGUGCCAGCAGCCGCGGUAAUACGUAGGGGGCGAGCGUUAUCCGGAUUCACUGGGUGUAAAGGGAGCGUAGACGGCCAAGCAAGCCAGGGGUGAAAGCCCGGGGCCCAACCCCGGGACUGCCCUUGGAACUGCAUGGCUGGAGUGCGGGAGGGGCAGGCGGAAGUCCUAGUGUAGCGGUGAAAUGCGUAGAUAUUAGGAGGAACACCGGUGGCGAAGGCGGCCUGCUGGACUGUGACUGACGUUGAGGCCCGAAGGCGUGGGGAGCAAACAGGAUUAGAUACCCGAGUAGUC